rnacentral:hammerhead_ribozyme from 1 species
AUCCAGUUGACGAGUCCGACAUAAAACGAAACGCGCGUCAUAGAU